rnacentral:lncRNA from 1 species
CCCCCCCCCCCCCCCCCCCCCCCCCCCCCCCCCCCUGACUCCACAGGCUGAGCACUGCUUUUGGGGGAUCCACUCCUGAGAGAUGGAAAAACUUUUCUCUAAGGGCCUCCAACGGGAAAGUACAGAGCUACAGGACACAAGAAACCCCAUGAGCAAUCUGAACUGACGAUGCAAAUCCUGAAGGAAAUGCUGCAGGGAGGACAAGGUGGGCGCAUUUCCCUCAGCCUUCUCCUGAGGCUCAGCAGCCGGGGGCUUUCUCUGCACAUCUGGACACGCCGUGCCCGGCACAGUGGGAAGGGAUCCAUGGCAGCCUCGCUGCCCCGCUGCUGCUGUCACACCCUGCAGGGCUGUUUCCCAGCCUGGCCUGGCUGCAGCUUCUCCCCAGCCUCUGCAGGAAGGCCACUGGCAUCAGCUCACAUGGAGCCCAAAGUGCCCCACGGGCCAUGAACACCCUGAGAUCCCCUGAAAUUUCCCUGUCUUGGGGUAGAUCUGAAAAGGCAGCUGUUUGGAGAAGGGAGGGCCCUGCUGAAUCUGAAAAAAUUAUAUGAUUUCCUGAUCCUUAUCCACAACGUUUACAAGGACUGUCUCCUGAAGAUGCCACCUCCCCAAUGUGGAAUGGUUCCAUCUGAUCCUGUUGUCCCUUUCUCCAGUGAUGAAAGGAAAGACUGUGCUGAAGGCUCUGUUUCCCGGAGAAAGCCGUGGUUCUGUUCCAGCCAUGGCUGCAGGAAGGGAGGAGAUGCCAGGCACAGUCACAGGAGGUGAGCGUGCUAGGAAGACUUCUCCAGCAGCUUGGCGUCAUAAAGAUUUGCAGCCUCUGGAGCCUCCUGCAGAUGUGUCUGCAUGGAAAACUUUCCCUAAUCCCUUGGUGGAUGCUACACAGAAGCCCAGUUCCCAUCACAGGGGUUUCCUGAGAAGGAAGAACAAACAAAUAGAUAAAAGUGAGUCUCUGGAGGCAUCCGAUUUUCUGGCCCAGAUGCUGAGUGAUCUGGAGAGACGCCGUGGGAUUGAAGAAGAGACUGGGCUGGCAGCUCCGAUUCCUAUAGGAAGCAGUGGUUCUGUUCCAGCCUCUGCUGCAGGAAGGGAGGAGAUGCCAGGCACAGUCACAGGAGGUAAUUGCUGUGCCUCCCCCCCCCCCCCCCCCCCCCCCCCCCCCCCCCCCCCCCCCCCCCCCCCCCCCCCCCCCCCCCCCCCCCCCCCCCCCCCCCCCCCCCCCCCCCCCCCCCCCCCCCCCCCCCCCCCCC